rnacentral:tRNA from 1 species
ACCUGGCUGGCUCAGUCAGUAGAGCAUGCAACUCUUGAUCUUGAGGUCGUGGGUUCAAGCCCCACACUGGGUU